GACGGAGGAUGCAAGUGUUAUCCGGAAUCACUGGGCGUAAAGCGUCUGUAGGUGGUUCGAAAAGUCCACUGUUAAAAAUUGAGGCUUAACUUCAAAGAUGCCGUGGAAACUUUCAAACUAGAGUAUGGUAGGGGUAGAGGGAAUUUCCAGUGGAGCGGUGAAAUGCGUAGAUAUUGGAAAGACCACCGAUGGCGAAGGCAACUCUACUGGGCCAUUACUGACACUGAGAGACGAAAGCUAGGGGAGCAAAUGGG
rnacentral:rRNA from 1 species